ensembl:lncRNA
GACAGAUGUCUUCAAAAACAACAAUAACAACAACAAUAAUAAUAACAACAAAGAGCAUUUAUAAACAAACAUGUUCCCUAUGAAGAGUUCUGAGCUCUCAGUACGGAAUAAGUAACUUACCUUUAAACCACUAACACUGCUUUACUCUCUUAUUCUGUUUUCAUUAUUAUUAUUAUUAUUAUUAUUAUUAAUGAUAUAAUUGUACACUGUGUAAUUUAAAGCGAGUAGAAAAGAAAGAAAGUAGCAGUAAAUUUUCUGUGAUCUUAGAUGGAACAGUAAGUCAGGCUGGAGGAGGAUUUCAAAGAGGCUUCACUUUUCUCACAAAGGAAAUCCUGAAACAGGAAGCAGCAGAAACAGCAGAGAAACAGUGAAAACAGAACCAUCACCAGUGUUUUUAACCAGUGUUUGGAAGCAGAGUUUGGAAGUUCACCUGGGUGUAUUCAGGGGAGGAGUACCAGUCAGUUUGACAGGUUCAACUUAUAGUAAACCACAAUCUGUAGAAGAUUUGGACCAGUUAAAAAAAAUAAAGCUAAAAGGUCUUACCCCAUGAGCUGAUUGAUGAUACCUAAUGCUGCUAUGACAACACAGGACAACCAUAAACCACAGACCCCAGUACAGGGCAGAGGACAGCGCUACUUUGGGCAUUCCAGGAGGAUUCCUGUUGUAGUCGAGCCAUGCAGUCCUGCAGUUCAGCUCUCUGUGUCCUGAUCUUACUGAUCACCACAUUCACUGCUGUGUAUGUGUCAGCUGUUCCUCUAGUGAGGGUGAAGCUUCAUGACUCUGCUACUCUGCCCUGCUCUGAGACAUGUUCUGGUUUGGUCAGAUGGACUGAGUUCCAUAAUCCCACUGAUGUUCUGGCUGAGUGUGAUCAGACCUCAUGUAGAUCAGUGAAGGAGGGAUAUCAGAUGAUCCAUGAUCAGUACCUGAAGGGAGAUUUCUCUCUCACCAUCACUGACGCUGAUUACAGUAUGAUGGGCACGUACACAUGUGAGUGCGGUAAUUCUGAACUCUGUGAUGUGCGGCUUCAGGUUGAGGAAACACCAGAGGCAGGGAACAAUAUUUCUGGCAGCAGUCAUACUAAAGGAACGUCCCACGGUAAGAUCUGUCCAGUUACAAAACACUAGCAGGGCCAGUUCUAGCAUUUUUGGGAGGCCUAGGCAGGUUUUUUUUUUUUUUUUGUGGGGGGGGGGGGGCGGGGGUAUCUUGCUUGCUGAUGCACUGUAAAAGUGGAAGCUAACUCAUAACAACGAUUACCACCAGCUGUGUAAAUUACGUACAUUUGUAAGUAGCUAAUUGUGUAAUUCUGAUUACUGGAUGCUAGUUUGGGGUUUUAAUAUGUUACCAUUUAAAUUACAGCUAACCUUCUAAAGAUUUAGAGCCAGUAAUUCUCAGUCUGUAAACAGUUUUACAGCCCAUCUUGUUUGCUGAACUGUAUUCUAAUCGUGUUGUUGUCCACUUGCUCAGGAUCAGUACAGCAGGUUGGGAAUCUGGUGUGGUUCUGUGGCCACUUUUCUUCAGUAUCUGAUUAAACGGACCUAAUUUCAAAUACUAUCUCAUAAAAGUCAUCUAACGUGUCAGUUUUAUGUUUUUCAUUGUACUAAAGUGGAAACUUAGUAACCUAAUAAUUACCUGCAGCGUAAAGACACUUCAAAU